rnacentral:miRNA from 2 species
GCACCGGGAAUUGUCUUUCC